rnacentral:lncRNA from 1 species
UGAUGGAUGACAAAAUGGGGUCCAGGAACUUGGCAAUAGGAAUAGUGCUCUCACUUCAGGGUGUAUUUGGAAUUCUGGGAAACUUCUCUCUUCUUUUCCACUAUCUACUCCUUUACUACAAUGAAGGCAAGUUAAAGACCAUAGACUUGAUUCUUACACAUGUGUUUACAGCCAACUCUUUGAUCAUUUUCUCCAAAGGAAUGCUACAGAUAACAGGAGCUUUUGGAUGGAAUCAGUUCUUCAAUGAUAUUGGAUGCAAUCUUAUUUUAUAUAUUCUCAGACUUGGCAGGAGUAUGUCUAUCUACACCACCUGUCUUGUGAGUGUCUUCCAGGCUAUCACCAUCAGCCCCUGGAAAUCCUAUUGGAAGGAUCUCAUAGUCAAAAUUCGAAGGCUCAUGGGUUUCUUCAUUUCACUCUGCUGGAUCCUACACAUGAUGGUGAAUAUGAUUUUUUCCUAUAUAUCCAUCCACCAAGGGAAAGACAAAAAAUAUUACACAAAAAAGAAAAUAUGAAUUCUGUUCCUCUUUUCCAGGUCGUGAUAAUAUAGUAGAAUCACUAUACAUAGCAUUUUGGGUAUUUCCAGAAGUCUUGCUUUCUGUAGUUCUGGUCAUUUCCAGCAUCACCAUGAUUGUCAUACUGUAUGGACACAAGAAAAUGGUUCAACAUAUACACAGUUCUCAUGUUUCUCCCAGAAACUCUCCUGAGUCCAGAGCCACCCAGAAAAUUCUAGUCCUGGUGUGCACAUUUCUCACUUUUUAUACACUAUCUUCCAUCUUACAAGGCUUCAUUACCUUUUCUCAGAAUCCUAGUUGGUGGCUAAUUAAUAUCACAGCUAUCAUUUCUAUGUGCUUUCCUACUGUAGGUCCCUUUAUCAUGAGCCAUGAUAUCAUUCUUUCUCGUUUCUGUUUAUCUUAGAUGAGGAAUAUAUACUUACAAUAA